UAACAGAUGCGAGACCAUGGUAUGUGGA
rnacentral:sRNA from 1 species